rnacentral:rRNA from 1 species
GACGAACGCUGGCGGCGUGCUUAACACAUGCAAGUCGAACGGAAAGGCCCUGCUUUUGUGGGGUGCUCGAGUGGCGAACGGGUGAGUAACACGUGAGUAACCUGCCCUUGACUUUGGGAUAACUUCAGGAAACUGGGGCUAAUACCGGAUAGGAGCUCCUGCGGCACGGUGGGGGUUGGAAAGUUUCGGCGGUUGGGGAUGGACUCGCGGCUUAUCAGCUUGUUGGUGGGGUAGUGGCUUACCAAGGCUUUGACGGGUAGCCGGCCUGAGAGGGUGACCGGCCACAUUGGGACUGAGAUACGGCCCAGACUCCUACGGGAGGCAGCAGUGGGGAAUAGUGCACAAUGGGCGGAAGCCUGAUGCAGCAACGCCGCGUGCGGGAUGACGGCCUUCGGGUUGUAAACCGCUUUCGCCUGUGACGAAGCGUGAGUGACGGUAAUGGGUAAAGAAGCACCGGCUAACUACGUG